rnacentral:rRNA from 1 species
AACGUAGGGGGCGAGCGUUAUCCGGAGUUACUGGGCGUAAAGGGCGUGCAGGCGGUCUGAUAAGUUCGGCGUGAAAUAUUCCGGCUUAACCGGGAUAGGUCGUCGGAGACUGUCGGACUAGAGGGUGAUAGAGGCGUGUGGAAUUCCCGGUGUAGUGGUGAAAUGCGUAGAGAUCCGGAGGAACACCAGUGGCGAAGGCGACACGCUGGGUCACACCUGACGCUCAAGCGCGACAGCAUGGGGAGCGAACGGG